rnacentral:lncRNA from 1 species
AUGUCUUGGUCCGGGAGAGGUCAGGUAGGAAAGGCUGUGACCUGGAUACGUGGAAUGAAAAGCUCAUCCAUAGCAAACUGUAAACCUUGUCUACAGGCUGGAAGACCUGGGGUUGCUGAUAAGGCAUGGCUCAGAACGGGCCUUGGACUGAGGCCAGCCCCUAGACGGAUCAGAAGACAAAAAGAGCAACCAGAGAAGGCAGAAAAUAACCAUUAAAAUGGAUGCCACAAUAUAUUUCAUUUGAACCUCAUCACAAAACUUCCAAUGUGCUCAUAUAAGAGGUCAUUCGACAAAAUUAUACAUUUUGUGCCUUUUUUCCUCCUUCUCUUUAAAUAGAGGUAAAAUUAAACUCUGAUAGGGUUCUCUAAUUAGCAUAUUUCAUGAACAAUUAUAUCACCCUCAAGUUUUCAAAAUUAUUAAAUGUUAAAUUAUUAGAAGUAACUUAUCAGAAAUAGGUAAUUUUGCUAUUUGAAAUAGGAGAAAUUAACGAUAUAUUUUGUUGUCUAAUUAGGUUUGCUACAUAAUUCCAAUUUGUUCCAUUAGUUUUACUAGAAAUUGAAUACAUUGUUUUGUUAACCGAAGGCAAAUUGCUUUUUAAUUUUAGGUAAAAAAUGCAGACAAAGAGGAUGUAGAAAUAAACCCAUCACUUAUGUAUGAAACGAGACUUAC